GGAGUUUGGGCCGUGUCUCAGUCCCAAUGUGGCCGUUCACCCUCUCAGGCCGGCUACUGAUCGUCGACUUGGUGAGCCGUUACCUCACCAACUAUCUAAUCAGACGCGGGUCCAUCUUACACCGAUAAAUCUUUUCACACUAGAUCAUGCGGUCCGGUAAUGUUAUGCGGUAUUACCAUCCGUUUCCAGAAGCUAUUCCGCUCUCAAAGGCAGGUUGCUCACGUGUUACUCACCCGUCCGCCACUAAGUUAUUAAAAGCAAGCUUCCAAUAACUCCGUUCGACUUGCAUGUGUUAAGCGUGCCGCCAGCGUUCGUC
rnacentral:rRNA from 1 species